AACGCAUGAUGACACUGUUUCGGUCCCAGAUGAUCACCUGAUUAAUAUCUAAUGAUCACCUGAUGUU